rnacentral:sRNA from 1 species
UAUAAUGAACACGGCCGCACCACAAGUAAAGUCUGAGGAAGGACAGAAAACGCUCUGGAGGCUGGUUCAGUCACCCGUUAUCAGUAAAAAUGGUUGACCCCUAACAAUAUGUACAAAAAUACAAAAUGUAAAUAAGAAAUUCAAACUUUCCUUUUAAAGUAUGUUUAAGAAAAAUAGCAGGGCCUGGGAAGCUCUGGUUCUCUUCUCCUCCCAUGUUGCUAAUUCAUGUCGUGGUUUGGGUGGGGCGGUGGAGAGCAUAUGUUAUCUGUGGGUGGCUCUGCCCUCUGUGGGCGGGCGUGGCCUGCUUCUCUACUCGAAGAAGAUCACAUUAAAAUUCUGAGACUGGAAGUGGAGGGUGAAUAGGUCACGGUGUGUAAAGUCCUUGGUGGUGAUCUCGGAGCUGGUAUCCACUGCGGAGUCUGACAUGGUGGGGCACGCCGAUGGUCCGGUGCUGCGAAUAAGGAAUUAGUCGAGCUCGAGGACUCUGGUGAGAAAGCUACCGGAGUCCAGGUUGGAAAAGGCAGUAGGCGGCGAAGGUGGCUGCAGUGAGCGCAGAGCAAAGAUGGCUUUUCAGUGGGGACUGGCUUUUGAGUAGCCAGCGGGGGCAUAAUGGGCAUCCUUAUGUGCUCAGAGACAAGUCUCUGAAGAGAAAGCUUAUUGCCCAGAGUGAUGGGACCAGAAGGUUGUUGCAGGAGCAUGAACCUGCAAAAGAAGCCCAGAAUAUUCUCUGGCUUCCAGUAUCAGGGGCAAGGCUUGUCUGUGGCCACACCACCCUGGGCUACCCAGUCUUGUUUGAUUUCAUUCCUAAGCAAGAUCAGACCUGGUUAGCAUUUCACUGGGAGACAGAAGCUUUCGCUUCCAUGCACACUCCUAACAUCGGCCAUGCAGCCUCCUGAGUCUGCAUUGUCAACCUCCAGAACUAGGAAACAAAUAAACCUAGAUUUGGGGGGAGUUUUUAGGGGGCAGUGUUUUGCUUUGCUUUGGUAUGGUAUGGUUUGGUUUCAUUUGGUGGGUGCGUGGGUGGUUGGUUGGUUGGUCAUCGGUAGCCAUGAACAGCUGACAAGGAGCAAAACGAUGCAGUCAUCAGUAGUGGUUACAAUGUGGAUCAGGAAACUGGGGUGCGGAGCAAGGAAGCAAAUUCCCCACAUGAGGCUUCUUCCUGCCUGCGUGUCUGACUUGUUCCUAUGCUGGUCCUUAUCUGGUUCACCCCGCCCCACCCACCCGCCAUGACUGUUUCCAGUUCCCUUGUGUUCCAUGCCCUCUCCAGCCUCAGCAUCUCCGGUAAGACCCAGAAUUUCAUGUAACCUAAUUUCACUUCCCGGCUUGGGAUGUGGCUCAUCCCUCCUUCUCAGCCCUGGAAUGCCGCCUAUCUAGUCACAACUCCCCUUCGCAGGAUUACUGAACGAAACAGAAGAACGACACUUCUUCUGUCUAGCACCAGAACCAAGGAAAUGAUCGUCAAAGUAUUUCCAUGCUGUAAUCCCCAGGACAAAGUCUAACUUCAGUUCAAUUAAAACUGACUACUAUAUCUAGGGCCAUGGGUAAGGUAUGUCUGCGAAAGAUAAAAUUAUCACCUUCAAAGUUCUAGCAGGAAAGAAGAUGAGUUUUAAAAUAGCCUAUAGUUCAGGACAGAAGAAAAAAAAUAAGUGCCGUAUGAAACCCACAAAAGGCAAAAUUAGUUUCAGAUGAUGAAGAGAUCCUACCAAGAUGAUAAUUAGCAAGCGCCUUGCAGGAGAAUGGCUGCUUGAAAUUGACUUGGAAAGAAUUGAUAGAAUUUCAAUAAUUGGAAAAGGAGAAUAAGAGAAAGGCGCUCCAAGUGGAGGGACUAGCCUCUAGAAAAGGGGCAGAGAAUGGAAACCUGGAGUACGUUUAAGGACAAAAUGACAGUUGACUGUUUGACAGGAAUGUCGAGGAAGUUUUAGAAACGCAACUCUGGAGCUGGGCAUGACAGCACACGCUUGGAUGCAAGGUAGGAGGGUCGUGAGUUCAAAGACAUCCUGAACUACAUAGUGAGUUCGAAGCCUGUAUUGUACAGUAAGACCCUGUCUCAAAAAGGUAGAGGGGGCAAUGAGGGAGGAAGGGAAAAGACAGAAAAUGGCAGGAGGGAAGAGGGGAAGGGAGGAAAGGUCCCAAAUAGAGCAAUGUGCCCAUAACUUUCGGCUAGGAAGGGUUUGGGAUUCUAAGGAUGUAGAUAUUAUUUCAUCUAAUGGCUUCCCAAAAGAAAAUUUACUUACAAAAUAUACCUCAAUCUUUUCUGGUCCACAGCUAUGGAUGGACCUCCUGUGGUUGCCCUAAUUCUAGCAUUCUCAGGCCAACGGAGGCUGAGGCCACGGCCCAUGGUCACUGUGUCAGGCGAGGCUCUGACUAAGAAAGCAAGGAAAACAAGCGGAUGUGCUUGGGCUUCAGUUUCUUUUAACUACACCAUUCCCUGUUCUUAGCCCAGGAUGCCGUCAUCCAGGACUCUGAAAACUCUUCUUUGUCACGAGCUUAGGCAGAAAGUCUCUCCAGCCGUGGGUCAGAAUAAGGAAGACCAGGUUCAAGGAGGCCAAGGCAUGAACCUAGAGUCGCCCAGCUGGUACGUACCAAAGCCAAAUCUCUCCUAAUUAAAAUUCUAUCUAACAAGCCUGCCUCUCAUAAAGAUCAAACCCUCUGAUAGUCUCACUAGCAGGUGUCUUCCAGACUUGCUGAUUGUUCACAAUGGAGCUAAUGGAUGUGCUGCCCAGACAAGUUCCAGGUUCCCCUUAAACAGGUUUUUCACAAGCUUCAAACCAAUUGAGGAGUGUGAAGAAACCAGCGAGAGACACUCCACCCAGCAGCCACUCGAACCAACAGUGGUUUCUGCAGACAGCAGUCUAAUCUCUUGGUCUGGCAAGGCUGGGCAAGAGAUCAUUUUCCAGGCUCACCUGCAAUGCUGAAAUUGGAACAUCUUUUCCCACGCAUGUCCUCAGUACUAGAAAUAGUCCCAGUUCCUGACAUAAAGCAAUCGAAGCCCUAGGGAUUCCCGCAUGAUGGUCAUGUGUGCUUUCGUUCUGCCUGGGCCCUGUGUGUUCACACCCCAGUUUAGGGUGCGAUAUGAACUCAAGCUUCGGGAAAUGCUGGGAUAGCUAGGCGGGGGAUGGGAGGCUUCAGGGGGGGAGUUUGUGGCCAGAGGGAUGGGAUUUUCCAUCCCCACUUCAGGCUCAGGGGAUGGAAUGAAGGCCAGAGACUGGGUUCAGAUCAAUCUUCUCUAUGAAGUACUACCUCCCUAAGAUCCCAAAUGAUAACAUCAGAGAGCUUCAAUCACACAGUUGACAAUCACAUGACGGUCUCAGCCAAGAGAGUCUCAGUCUCAACUCACUGGGAACAGCAGCUAUGGAGCAAGGGCCCUUCUAGGUCACACAUAUACAUUUUCUUCUGACUGUUCAUUUUUAUUCUUUACAAUAACCAAAAAUAUCAAUAAAUAAAACAUUUUCCAAAGUCUUA